CAGGGAGACAACACAAUGAUUUUGAUGCCUGAGUACUUUUAUUCUUAGGCCGAAAUUCUGUCACCUUAGGUCGAUCGGUACCUCAGCUUUGAAGUUAAGAAUCAGCAGCAAUGUUGAUUGCUUGAUGGAGAUUUUCAGUUCCUAAACUUUGUCUAGGUCACACCCCAAAAGGGAUGAGACUCCUGGGCCAUUAGCUCAGGUGGUUAGAGCGCACCCCUGAUAAGGGUGAGGUCCCUGGUUCAAGUCCAGGAUGGCCCAUUCGGUGUUGGGGGUUUAGCUCAGUUGGUAGAGCGCCUGCUUUGCAAGCAGGAUGUCAGGAGUUCGAGUCUCCUAACCUCCACUGACCGAACUUGAUUCCCAUCUCCAAUUUUUUGGAGUUGAGCUCGAUUGGAGUGUGAUUUAGAUGUGUCCGCUGGAUGACCCCAGCUUCCUGUCAUUCCAAGUUUUAGAUUUUAAGUCUUGAAUUUGGUUGAUAAGAUGCUGGGCUCGGAUCAAAUGAUCAAGCAAUUGAUGAUUUGAUUUGAAGUUCUAGCAGAACCUUGACAACUGCAUAGGUGAGUCUGGAAAAAACAAAGCAUCUUACAGAUGCAUUGUUUUGAAUCUGAUCUUCUGAAAGGGAGAUUAGAUCUAGAACAAUGAAAAUUCUUUUGAGCAAGAGCCGAGACUCUUGAACGUUCUUUGAUUGGUGUCGAGCCAAUCAGAGUUUGAUCUUGUUUUUAGCAAUAAAAACUUGAGAAUCUGCUUUCAACGGCGGUAAGCGUUCUGGAGGUUAAUU
rnacentral:tRNA from 1 species